CUUUGUGAUGACCACCAUGACAUGCAAAAGGCAUUCCUCAAACUUAAUGUUCCAUGUGGAAUCUGUCAUUAAUCAAGUUUCAGCCUUGUCUGACA
rnacentral:snoRNA from 1 species